AGGCGCUGGUGAGAUUUGCAGAGUUGGCACCUCAUGGGGACAGAAUGUGACCUGGAGCCAGAGCUUCCCAGGAGCCCUCCUCCUGUCCUGUUGGCUCCAGAUCCCUGCCCAAGAACAGAGCGGGCUUCUUCCCCUUGAUCCAGGGUUUGCUUUCUUGCGACCAACAAAAGGGGGCUUUGGUGCCAGCGACUCCCGGGGCCACGCUGGAGUCUUACCUUAGGGCGUCAGGAGAACUGUGUCCUUCCUCAGGGCUGCUUAUGGGGGUGGGGUGGGGUGGAGUGGGGGAUGGUGGGGGUGGGGGUUCAGGAGCUCCCCCUUCCUGCAGCUCUAAGAAUACUGAGCUGCCGAUGACUCCGUAAAGGGCGCAGAAGGGGAGCAGACAGUGAAUUCCAGCUCCUCUCCAAUCUCUACGCCACUCAGUGUGGCAAGGACCCACCACACCCCUGUAAGGUUGAGGAAUUUCCCUUUCCAUUUCGUUUUUUCAAAUUUUUAUUUUUGUCUUUUUAGGGCUGCACCUGCGGCAUAUGGAAGUUCCUGGACUAGGAGUCGAAUUGGAGCUUCAGCUGCCAGCCUACACCACAGCCGCAGCCACAGCAAUGCGGGAUCUGAGCCGCAUCUGUGACCCACACCACAGCUCACGGCAACGCCGGGUCCUCAACCCAGUGAGUGAGGCCUGGGAUUGAACCUGCGUCCUCAUGGAUGCUAGUGGGGUUCGUUACCGCUGAACCACGACCGGAACUCCCUUCUUUCCCUCUUGGUCUGGACUUUACCUGACCUCUCUGUGCCUCUGUGGUCCCCUCUGGUAAACUGGGACUGAUAACAGUACCUGCCUCCUGAGAACCGCGAAUGUUACUAACUUAGAGGCACGCCUGCCCUGGAGGAGCGCCGGGAAUGGCCAGCUAGCCAAAGCGAGUGCUUGUCUAUUCACCUCUCCUGUGAUACACUGUGUCUGGGAGCCCCCCGGUUUCCCAAAUGGGGUGUGGAAAUGCAUAAGUCAUGAUGAUUCCAUCCUCAGGAGGCUCAUAGGUUAGCAGAACUCUCAUCCUGCAGAGUGCAAGCAGUGGGAUGAAUGCGCUGUGCCUGUGCAGAGGAGGGAGCCCAAAAUCUGUCUGGGAGGGGAGGGUGGAGGAAGGCUGGUUUUACCCAAGGCCUUGACAGCUGUGAAGAAGUUUGCAGCAGAUGGAUAAGGGGAAGGGUGUUCUAGGAAGAGGGAACAGAGUGAACGAGGUGUGGAGGCAUGAACACACAGGAGUAGUUGGGGGUGGUAGUCGUCCUGCUCUCAUGUGAGUGAGACACCCCGUGGCUGGUGAACAUGCUGCAAAGAUGGGUCAGUUUCAGUCUGAUGCACACUUUGAUGGCUUCUGGUGCCAGGUGCUUGGCUAAGCACCAAGGAUGCAGAGAUGAAGGAAGAAGCAGUCUCUGCUCUUGGGGACCACUAUGUAGCAGAGGCAGGCAGACAUUCAUGCAUUCAGCCAUUCAUCCAAUAAAUAUGCACGAAGUCCUACAUGUUGGGUACCAGGGAUGCUGCAUGAGCAAAAGGGAUGUUCGCCCAGCUUUCCUGGAGCUCAUAGCUCAGGAGGAAACACACCUCCAUCAGAAACUUAAGGGAAUAGACCUAAGGGAGGGACUGUGAGAGCAGAAGAGAGAGGAAGGGGCGCUACUAGUUCAGUCUCUGGGCUAGAUGGCUGGGGAUCAAAUCUUGGCUCUACCGCUUGAGUUGACUUGUUCUUGGACAGAGAGUUUCUGAUUUAGAGGGAUAUGCAAAGGCCCCGAGGUAGCAGCAUAACUUAUGCAGACAGGAAAGCCAGAGUGGCUGGAGGGUAGAAAGAAAGAAAAUGUGGUUAAAACUGAGGAUUGAAGGCAAAGCAAAUUUUAAAUGGGUCAGGAUAAGCCUUAAAGCUGAAUAAUGGAUAAAGGGAGACAUUAACACCAACUGAGAAUUAUUCUGUCUGGUUCACAUGAAGGUGGGGUCGGGAGUGGGAGGUUUUGUCAAGAUCAACCUUAGAAAGAGUCCAUCAGUCUAAUAAUGAAUGGCCAAACACUAUGUGGGCCGGGCACUUAAUUCUCAGGAAUCCCCUGUGCUGGGUAUUCUUAUGGUCAGCAGUCCGCAGAUGAAGAAAUCGAGGCAUCUGGAAUUAGGCUUCUUGCCCAAUGGUAUAAAGCUGAUAAGCGGUCAAGCUGGGAUUCAAACCCAGGGAGUCUGGUUCCAGGGCCCUUGUUCUUGGCCACUAAGCAGAGGGGGAAAACUGGGCAACAGUGGGAGCCUGGGAAAGAUCACGGCACCCCCAGCCACGUGUAUAUUGUCCAUCGUCAGUGGCGAGGUACUGCGAGAGGAGCCCAGGGAGAGCUCCCGUGAUUCCGAAAGCCGCAUCCAAGGGGGUCUUGGAAAUACCAUAGCCCCUAUGGAGGGCUCAGGGAGGAUCUCUGCCUGCGCCAAAAGGCAGUUCUGGGUGUCCACGUGCCACUGAUGGGAAGUCCACUGUGCUUUUGACAAUGAUAGAGUCCUGGCUGGGCUUCUAGUGCCAAAUGCAGAAGUAGCAGAGGAAAGGGACCAAGGGUGGUGUGUGUGUGUGCUUGUGCACACGAGUGUGUAUGUAUGGGUGCCUGUGCAUGUUCAUGCACUUGGGUCUGCAGGCCUGUGUGUGCCCACUCGCAUGUGUGUAGGCAGCGGCUAGAGUGACAUUGGAAGACUUGAGCCAGAGUGGGCAGUAGCACAAUUCCAUCAACCCCUGCCCAGCCUCGAGGGGGCCUUGAAUUCUGCUGAUCUUGGCUUCAGGAGCAUGAACUUGGGCCUUCCCGUUGCCUCGGAUCCUGGCUCCAUCACCCACAGGGUGUGCUGCUUGGGGUCUCACUUCACUCCUCCUAGUUUGGUCUUUUGAUCUAAAAAAAAGAGGGAGCAGCAUUUACCUCUUGGGGUGGUUCUCAGGAUCUGGGGAGGGGGCCUGGCACAUGGCAUAAAAAUGAAAACGCAUUGGUGCGUUUGGAGCUGCAGAGAGGGGUGUGGUCUGAUUUUGGAUUCUGUAAAUGCUCAGUCUUAUCAGCGUUGGUCACAGACCCAUAAGAGAACAAAUGCUUCGUCUGAAAAAUACAAGUUGCCCUUGAUUCCUUUUGUUUCUGCCUCUUCCACAUCCAGUCCGUCUCAGCAAGUCCUAUGGACCCUCCCUCCCAAAUUCACCCUGUGCUGACCACUGUUCACCUUCUUCCUGAGUCUAAGCUCUUGCCAGAGCCCUCUCUGUACAAAGAGAUUGUGCAGACAGUGUCUGUCCUGGAUUCACAGCUCUCCGGAGGAUGAGCUGUCACUGGGAGUAAAGUCCACACUCCUCACCAUGACUUCUGGUACCUGGCCCAUUAAAAAAAAAAACCGAAAAACAAGUUCCUCCCUGCUUCUUCCAUUCCAGCCACUGUGGCCUCCUUGGUUUCCUUCCAACACCCCAAACUUGCUCCUGACACAGGGCUGUCACAACCACAGCUCCCACUGCCAUAGAAUGCUCUUGCCCCAGAACCGUGCAUGCUCCCUUCUUCACGCCACUCAGAUUUGUGCUCAGCUCUGCAGCGGGGUCUUCCCCGACCACUCCUAGCAGGGAUGGUUUGAUAUCCCCCAACACCUCCCCCCACGCCUUAACUGGAGGUGACACAACGCCUGCAGUUCAGCUGGAUACCUGGCUGGGCACUAGAAUGAAGAUUCUAUUUCCCAGUCUCCCUGGCAGAUAGGAGUGGCUGGGUGAUCGACUGCUGGCCAAUGGGGUAGGGAGAGCAAGGUGUUCGAGCAAUUUCCAGGCAUUUCCUGCAGGGAGGGCCUAUGCCCCUCCUCCUCGCUUUCUCCCUCCUGCAGCCCACGGUGUGGACCGGGUGGUGAUCCACAGUGGGUGGUUUGGAGGAGAGCUGUGCUCUGGGGCAGGCAGAGCCACAAUGUAGAAGGAGUCCAGGUUCCUGGUUGACCUUGAGAAGCAGAGUCAUCAAACCUGCCUUAGUGAUGAGCGAAAUAGAAGAAACUCUUAUUUUGUUUAAGCCACUGUUAUGUCGGUCAGUGGCUACAGUCAGACAAACCUCUAUUUUAAGGAUAACUACCAUAUCCAAGAAGGUUCCAGACCACUCCUAGCCUCGCUUUGUCCCCUUACCUUGCUUUAUUGUUCACUUACCAUGCCCUGACAUCAUACGAUCCAUUAACUUUGUAUUCGUGUACUGUCUAUUUCCGUCUCUAGAAUGUGAGCUCCCUGAGGACAGGAACUGGGCUGCCUACCUUGUUCCCAGUUCUAGGCCCAGCUCCAACACAGUGCUUAGCAGAGAGCUGGGCUCAAUAAAUAUUUUCGAGCCAAUAGAAGAUAAGCCCCUACUCUGUGCAAUUGUUUUAUUUGCAUUCUUGCCACUGAGGUGCUUAGCCCUCUUCUGCAGCAGAAGAGAUUGAAAUGGAAGAAACGAAGCACGCUUGUCUGAAGUUCCAGAUCCUGAAAGUGGGAGAGCCGAGAUCAAAACUCAGAUCUGUAAGCUCCUCUCCUUUCCCGGCCAUUAGGAGGAUGUGGCUUUUGUGGAAAAACAACAACGACAAACCCUCACAAUUCAACAAGAAGACAAACAAGCCAAUUAAAAAUGGACAAAAGAUCCUAAUAGAUAUUUCACCAAAGAAGAUGCACACAUGGCUAAAAAGCACAUGAAAAUGUGCUCAACAUCAUUAGUCUUUGGAAAAAGGCACAUUAAAACCACAAUUUAGAUGCCGCUCCCCACCCGGGGGGACAAGACCGAGGGUUGGUGAGGAUGUGGGGACGCGGGCAUCCUUGCGCGGCGCUGGGGGAAUGUAGGCGAGGGCAGUCGCUUUGGAAGACAGUUUGACAGUGUCUUGAAAAGUGAAAUAGAGCUUUACGCUAUGGCCGAGACCUUCCAGCCUUAAGGAAUCUGCAUGAGAAAUGAAAACUGAAAUUCACUCCAAGUCUUGUAUGUGACCAUUCAUGGCAACCCUGUUAUUCACAUAUGUCCAUCAGUGUCCACACUGGCAGCCAUCCAUAUGUCCAUCGAGGCAUUAAUGGAUAAAUAAAACACAAUAUACCUAUACGGCGGCAUCCUAUUGGUCGAUAAAAAGGAGCGAAAGUGCUGAUACCACAACAAUGAGGAUA
rnacentral:lncRNA from 1 species